rnacentral:rRNA from 1 species
CAUGCAAGUCGAGCGGUAGCACAGAGAGCUUGCUCUCGGGUGACGAGCGGCGGACGGGUGAGUAAUGUCUGGGAAACUGCCUGAUGGAGGGGGAUAACUACUGGAAACGGUAGCUAAUACCGCAUAAUGUCGCAAGACCAAAGUGGGGGACCUUCGGGCCUCAUGCCAUCAGAUGUGCCCAGAUGGGAUUAGCUAGUAGGUGGGGUAACGGCUCACCUAGGCGACGAUCCCUAGCUGGUCUGAGAGGAUGACCAGCCACACUGGAACUGAGACACGGUCCAGACUCCUACGGGAGGCAGCAGUGGGGAAUAUUGCACAAUGGGCGCAAGCCUGAUGCAGCCAUGCCGCGUGUGUGAAGAAGGCCUUCGGGUUGUAAAGCACUUUCAGCGGGGAGGAAGGCGGUGAGGUUAAUAACCUUGUCGAUUGACGUUACCCGCAGAAGAAGCACCGGCUAACUCCGUGCCAGCAGCCGCGGUAAUACGGAGGGUGCAAGCGUUAAUCGGAAUUACUGGGCGUAAAGCGCACGCAGGCGGUCUGUCAAGUCGGAUGUGAAAUCCCCGGGCUCAACCUGGGAACUGCAUUCGAAACUGGCAGGCUAGAGUCUUGUAGAGGGGGGUAGAAUUCCAGGUGUAGCGGUGAAAUGCGUAGAGAUCUGGAGGAAUACCGGUGGCGAAGGCGGCCCCCUGGACAAAGACUGACGCUCAGGUGCGAAAGCGUGGGGAGCAAACAGGAUUAGAUACCCUGGUAGUCCACGCCGUAAACGAUGUCGAUUUGGAGGUUGUGCCCUUGAGGCGUGGCUUCCGGAGCUAACGCGUUAAAUCGACCGCCUGGGGAGUACGGCCGCAAGGUUAAAACUCAAAUGAAUUGACGGGGGCCCGCACAAGCGGUGGAGCAUGUGGUUUAAUUCGAUGCAACGCGAAGAACCUUACCUGGUCUUGACAUCCACAGAACUUUCCAGAGAUGGAUUGGUGCCUUCGGGAACUGUGAGACAGGUGCUGCAUGGCUGUCGUCAGCUCGUGUUGUGAAAUGUUGGGUUAAGUCCCGCAACGAGCGCAACCCUUAUCCUUUGUUGCCAGCGGUUAGGCCGGGAACUCAAAGGAGACUGCCAGUGAUAAACUGGAGGAAGGUGGGGAUGACGUCAAGUCAUCAUGGCCCUUACGACCAGGGCUACACACGUGCUACAAUGGCAUAUACAAAGAGAAGCGACCUCGCGAGAGCAAGCGGACCUCAUAAAGUAUGUCGUAGUCCGGAUUGGAGUCUGCAACUCGACUCCAUGAAGUCGGAAUCGCUAGUAAUCGUAGAUCAGAAUGCUACGGUGAAUACGUUCCCGGGCCUUGUACACACCGCCCGUCACACCAUGGGAGUGGGUUGCAAAAGAAGUAGGUAGCUUAACCUUCGGGAGGGCGCUACC